UAGGGAAUCUUCCGCAAUGGGCGAAAGCUUGACGGAGCAACGCCGCGUGAGUGAUGAAGGUCUUCGGAUCGUAAAACUCUGUUAUUAGGGAAGAACAAAAGUGUAAGUAACUAUGCACGUCUUGACGGUACCUAAUCAGAAAGCCACGGCUAACUACGUGCCAGCAGCCGCGGUAAUACGUAGGUGGCAAGCGUUAUCCGGAAUUAUUGGGCGUAAAGCGCGCGUAGGCGGUUUUUUAAGUCUGAUGUGAAAGCCCACGGCUCAACCGUGGAGGGUCAUUGGAAACUGGAAAACUUGAGUGCAGAAGAGGAAAGUGGAAUUCCAUGUGUAGCGGUGAAAUGCGCAGAGAUAUGGAGGAACACCAGUGGCGAAGGCGACUUUCUGGUCUGUAACUGACGCUGAUGUGCGAAAGCGUGGGGAUCAAACAGG
rnacentral:rRNA from 1 species